rnacentral:tRNA from 1 species
GCAGAUGUAGUUUAAUGGUAGAACCUCAGCCUUCCAAGCUGACUGCGUGGGUCCGAUUCCCAUCAUCUGCUCCA